GACGAACGCUGGCGGCGUGCUUAACACAUGCAAGUCGAGCGGUAAGGCCCUUUCGGGGGUACGACGAGCGGCGAACGGGUGAGUAACACGUGGGUGACCUGCCCUCAGCUCUGGGAUAAGCCUGGGAAACUAGGGUCUAAUACUGGAUAUGACUCCACGGUGCAUGUCGUGGGUGGAAAGCCUUGUGCGGCUGAGGAUGGGCCCGCGGCCUAUCAGCUUGUUGGUGGGGUGAUGGCCUACCAAGGCGACGACGGGUAG
rnacentral:rRNA from 1 species